rnacentral:rRNA from 1 species
GACGAACGCUGGCGGCGUGCUUAACACAUGCAAGUCGAACGGAAAGGCCCUGCUUUUGUGGGGUGCUCGAGUGGCGAACGGGUGAGUAACACGUGAGUAACCUGCCCUUGACUUUGGGAUAACUUCAGGAAACUGGUGCUAAUACCGGAUAGGAGCUCCUGCUGCAUGGUGGGGGUUGGAAAGUUUCGGCGGUUGGGGAUGGACUCGCGGCUUAUCAGCUUGUUGGUGGGGUAGUGGCUUACCAAGGCUUUGACGGGUAGCCGGCCUGAGAGGGUGACCGGCCACAUUGGGACUGAGAUACGGCCCAGACUCCUACGGGAGGCAGCAGUGGGGAAUACUGCACAAUGGGCGGAAGCCUGAUGCAGCAACGCCGCGUGCGGGAUGACGGCCUUCGGGUUGUAAACCGCUUUCGCCUGUGACGAAGCGUGAGUGACGGUAAUGGGUAAAGAAGCACCGGCUAACUACGUG